rnacentral:rRNA from 1 species
AUCAGCCUUUUGGGUGUGAUUUUGUGGACGUGAGGAGUUAAACGCCUUCAUGCCUGCAUAUUCGUGCACUUUGGGUGUACUUGCCCGUGUGGUUGGUUAACAUCAAUUUUGGUUAUCAUAAAAUGACUGGAGGAAUGUAGCUUCGAUCUCGUAUUGAAGUGUUAUAGCCUUCGGUAGAUGUGAUGAUCGAGAUUGAGGAUUGCAACGGAUACCCUUCGGGGCUACCUGUCUGGUCUCUGAUCGUUGCUCUGGUGCCGAAAGCUUGCUUACGGUUAUCAAAGUCGAUGGUCAAUAGGUUAGAACGGGUUAAAUUCGUUAAGGAUGUUGACGUAAUGGCUUU